AUUGAACGCUGGCGGCAGGCCUAACACAUGCAAGUCGAACGGUAACAGGAAGCAGCUUGCUGCUUCGCUGACGAGUGGCGGACGGGUGAGUAAUGUCUGGGAAGCUGCCUGAUGGAGGGGGAUAACUACUGGAAACGGUAGCUAAUCCCGCAUAAUGUCGCAGACCCAAAGGGGGGGCCCUUCGGGCCUCUUGCCAUCGGAUUUGCCAGAUGGGAUUAGCUUGUUUGUGGGGUAACGGCUCACCAAGGCGACGAUCCCUAGCUGGUCUGAGAGGAUGACCAGCCACACUGGGACUGAGACACGGUCCAGACUCCUACGGGAGGCAGCAGUGGGGAAUAUUGCACAAUGGGCGCAAGCCUGAUGCAGCCAUGCCGCGUGUAUGAAGAAGGCCUUCGGGUUGUAAAGUACUUUCAGCGGGGAGGAAGGGAGUAAAGUUAAUACCUUUGCUCAUUGACGUUACCCGCAGAAGAAGCACCGGCUAACUCCGUG
rnacentral:rRNA from 1 species